CCUGACCUCAAGUGAUCCACCUGCCUCGGCCUCCCAAAGUGCCGGGAUUACAGGUAUAAGCCACUGCAUCCAGCCAGCCAAGUAUUUGGUUUUAAACAUUAGUAUUCCUUUGUUCAAGGGAUUGUAUUUUGCACAAGACCUUCAAGCCCCUCUUCAAGAAAUUGAGUCUUUGUGUAGCUGCUGACCUUACUGCCAUAUUUAUUUUCCCAUACUGCUUAGCUGACAAAUGGCAGUCAAGCUCACUUGUACUCCCUCUCUCUCUCUCUCCCCCACCUUCAUAUAUAACUUGACUUGCUAUUAUUUUUCAUUGUGUAAAUCUGAAAUUCUUGGCAUUUCAAUAUGGCGUUUGUUUAGGAAAGAAAUAUAUAGGUCACUAGAGAAAAAUGUUAAUUUUUUUCCUACUGGAAAUUGCCUUCUGUUUGCCUUAUCUUUUCAGAUAGUCUUUAAAGUUGGACAAUAUUCAAGCAGCUCAUUUUGAGAAAGAUUUGUAGUUUCAUAAAGUUUGUGUAUUACAGGAAUUUAAGUAAAAUCAUCUGAAUUAAGUGUUGGGCAAAUGUUAAUCAGAAAGAUAAUCUGCAUCCCUUCGUUAUAUAGUUAUUUUGGAGAAAUGGCGGAAAAGGAAAAUAACAGGACUUUUUAUAGCUAUGAUAAGAAAAACCUCCAUUUAAAUAAGGAAGUUGGAGACAAAAUGGAAGGUCCUGGCCUUAAGUCAAAUUCCAGAUAGUGGUUUCAAUAUCCAAAGCUUAGGCCUUGUUUACUUAUAGUAAUGCUAUAUUUUUCUUUAUCUGCCCUGUGAUUUUGUUUCGUGUCCUUCAAAAGUUUUUUUAAUUGUAAUUUUAAAGGAAAAAACAGUGUAUUUUUAUUUGAUAACUAGGCAAAAUCAUUUGCCAUUUUUUAUUUCAUAAAUAUUUAUUUUUCUAUCUCAUACAAUGAUCAGUUUUACUUUAAAAAUUCUGCAUUUCUCUUGCCUCUCAUGUACUUCAUCCAGUUAUUUAUUAUUGUAAAAUGUUAACUGGAGGUACUUUAUUCAAAAAAAUUUCAUACCACUUAACACUUCCCCGGAAUGGUAGUGUUUCAGCUGUCUUAGUAAGUGACCAAAGGUGGUAUUUCCCUUGUGAUAGCUAAUUCAACAUCUUUAUUGAAAAUUUGUUACUUUUUUUAAAGGUUUUUAAAAGAUUACAAUUUUAAAAUAUUUUAUGUUUAUUUUAUUUUUGUGUAAAGCAAACACUUUUUAAAUAAUAUCAGAGUAAUUAUUACCCUAUGAAUACGGAGAUAGAAAUGCAAUUCAGUCAGUUAAAUCCUCUUACUCAUUCUCUUUCAAAUAAUGUAAUAAUGUUUGAGACUAUAGAAGCAACUCGUGUAUUUUAAUGAACUGCCAGACACUUUUCACUGUGUUCUCUGCUUUUUACUUGGUCAUUUUUAUAUAAAUGUGGAAGCGUUUAUUUUUGUUGUUACUGUUCCUGCUGCAAGAACACGUGCAGUUUAAUUUUUAAGCCCACAAUGUAUUAUGCUUUAAUGUUGUGAUGUAAACUAAUACUUCUGGCCUUGGAAAACCUUUCUGUUUCUGUAUCUUUGUCCUUUGGAGGCCAGGCCUCAUUAACACCUGUAUUGUUGAAUAAGCACAGUAUGUUAUGGAGCCUUAUCAUAAGGCUGCUUGACAUAGACACCCACUCUCCUCCACAUUUUAUAAAUCAUUGUUUGGAAGUAAAGUUAGGUAAGAAUCAAAUUAAAUGUUUUGACUUGAAAAAUAUUUGACUUUUGCGUUCAAACCACUGUUAGACAUAUGUAUUUUAUUAGACAUAAGUAUUUUAUUUUGGGACUGGACAGUUGCUUUACAUAUAUUUAAAGGAACAUUGUGAUUUUCAGAAAGUGGCUUUGCAUACUAUUGAAUUGCUAUUUCCCAAGUUACUUUACAACCACCAGCAGCAUACCAAUAAGUUACAAAAACAGAACAUGAAAAUUAACCCUAGGUGUUCUGAUGAUAGAGAAAUAGCUGAAUUAGAAAAGAAAGAUAUGGAUAGAUGCUCUUAGGAGGAAAACCUUUUUAGAAUGGCAAUGACUGCUUGGAUCUAGGUCAGCAGAUUCCAAAAUGUGUGACCUUGUGUUUGUGUUUACUGAACUCACUCUAGAAAAUUCUGGACCCAAUUCAUUAACCCUCCUUUUCUUUAAUGUGUACUGAAGCUGAGCUGGAUGAUGAGGGAAUUCAUUGCUGACUGUUGCUCAUCACUUUCCCUCAAAGUCAGAACUUUUCAGUAUAAAAAUAAUUAGCUUUUAACUGAUUAUUAAUUUUCUUUAGUACUGUGAAAACUUGUCUGAAAUUCGUGUUGUGCCAGAUUGGAAAUACCUACUGUAAUAUGGUGCAUUCAUUUUACCCCAUAAGUGGUUAACAUUUUAGGUCCUAGAUUUUUAAUGUCCUGUCUUUGUGUAAACAUCACUUUGGGGAAUACCGAGAUGGUUCAUUAUUCAGUGAUUAUUUUCUUGAAAGAUAACUAUGAUGAUUGGCUGUAAAAUCUUCAGCCUAAUAAAGGAGUGAGAUCUCUGUGUAAACAGCUUUCUGAAGGACUGAUAAUAGAAUAGAACUUGUAGCCAAAGGCAAACCUUUUGAGAAGACGGUAUUUGUGUAGGGAGUGCUAAGGUAGACUUCAUUAUAUAUCGAGUGCCAUAUUCUGAUGCAACAAUCAUAACAAAAUCAAAAGCUCAUGCUUCAGCAAAAAGGAAAAAAGAUCUUUAAAUUACUUUGUCUGUUACUGCUCAUAGAGAACUAUAUAAAAUGGUCCCAUUUUCUCAUUUCUGGUGGUGCCUGUGAGUCUGAAAGCCAUAUCUGCUUAUCUUACUGUUGAUAGAAUACUUUUUUCUUUUUAGCCCAUGGUAAGUAAUAUGGGCAGGUAGAAGCAAACUGGAGACUGUCCUGUUAAUGCUGCGUGGGGCACAGUGUCAUUCAAAUUAUUGGUGGAAGAAUCUCUUUUAUCCAUGGUGAGAGGUAAGAAUAUUAAAGGAAAGAGUCAGGAUAUUGUUGCUCCUGGUAUUUAACAACUGUCAUUAGAAAUGCUGAAAUUUAAUUCUAGAGAAGUCAAGAAAGAAGGAGUAAACUGAGAAAAUCUCACUACUGCAGAGUAACUUUUACAAUGAGACCUGCACUUUAUGCCAGCGCUGUUUGUGAGGAGCAGUACUGCCUUAAAUUAGUUUGACUCUGACCGAUGUCAGUGUACGUUACUUCCUUUAUGUGACUGACAGUCAACUUUCCAUUGAGAUCUAACAUUCACAGAUGAUCCCCAAGCAUCCUUGUCAUCAGAAGCUUUGGACCUUUUCUGCCACUGACUUAUGGCUGAUCUGUAACACAAUAAAUACAUAAUUUUAUUUCAUGUUGUCUGUCAACCUCUGAAUAAACAGUGGCAUGACCAAAAAGACUGGUAGAAGGAGAGAGAAUUUCCUGGCCAAAUCCUUCAUACCAGGUGGCCACUUCUUGAGUAAUUGAGAGUUGACUGUCUUCUAUGGUGACGAUAUAGAAGAUACUUCCAAAGGUUCUGUUAUGCAGUGAAGACAUUCAGAUUAUUUGUAAGAAUUUCACCAACACCCUUGUGUAUUGAAGUGCUUAACCAUUAACAGAAAAAAAGGAGAAAACCAAAACAGAGACAUUUACUUGAAAUGGAAGAUUUGCUAAUGUGAAGAGUGUUUCUAUUUUAUUACUUUUAAGAGAAAAGCAGGAAAACUUUUGCUGUGAUAAGAAAGACACCAGAGUGGUGAUUCUAUUUGAUACCACAAGCUAACACAAUCGUGUGAGUACUCAUGUUGAGUUGUAGAAAUAUGUGGCUCUAAAAACCAUUCUCUUUCCCUUACAUAUACAUAUGUGAACACUGCCUAGUAACAUUUUAAUAGGUUUAAGAUGCAUUUGUACAUUCUCAGCAAACUAGAAAAUGUUUUUUCUCUUUUUGAGUAACUUCAUAGCAUAGGGAACCAGCACUGUGCAGGUUUCAGCAUUUCAGAUAAGGACAGAAUUAAUUGUGUAACUUAGUGCCCUGUUACUCAUUGCUGAGGUUCCUAUAUAAAGAACAGAAAAAUUGAAAGACGGGUUUGAGCAACAUUUUCUUCACAAAAGAUCAAGGAGUAAGAACAAGUAAGGGAAGACAGCUAAGAGAACAUACUAUGACAUACAGAAUUGGGAUAAAUUUUUGUCGUGCUGGAUUUCAGGCUAUAAUUGCUAAAAUAAUUUCUAGCUAUUAAAUUUGGCGACAGGGUUUUUGACAUCAGAAUUUUUGUACUUCUGGUCAAAUUGGCCUUGGAAAUCCCUAUGGUCUCUAAUUUCAGCUCUUGCUGUAAACUGCAAGCCAAAUGCUGUUUCUCAGAAAGAGCUGUAUUUUUCUCUUCUUACAGGCAACCCAGUACUUAUUUCAUAAAGUGUUACAAAUAUUGAGAGGAUACACUGGGGAGAUAGAAUAUAAAAGUGAUGCUCCAAAAUGAGAAUUCUCUGUAAUGGGGUUUUCCCUAAGAAGAAUCCAUCCCAGCACCUAUUUUGAAAAGGUGCUGAAUUAAAAAGUACAAGAGUUUGCUCAUAUAAAUCAAGUUGCUCAGGAAAUCUGAGGUGAUGCUGUCAUUUGUCUCAUAAUUUAGAAAAGUGAUCUCUUGAGAGAGAGACUACACGUUGCCUGGGCACUUUCCGAUUCUUUAGUAAGUGCCGCUUUGAUAUUUGGAAUGUGGAUAUGUUUAUAAAACAAAUGGAUUGUUAUUCCAAAUGCUCAUGGAUUUAUAACCAAGUCCCAGAAGAAUAUGCAGCUUUGAAAUAGUUAUUUCGUGGAAUUGAACAGAACCUUGAUGGAAUAUAGUUGCCUGUGUGAGGACAGAAAACAAAGAGACUGCCUCAAACUACAUGCCUGUCUAGACAUUAAGUGAAACUUGAGGGACAUUUUGUGGAUGCCUUAAAGGUGACCAGUGGUGGGUUCUGAUGGGAAUAUACACACCCAUCUGGACUAGGCCAAUGGAAGCAGAGUCUCUUUCAGUUCACCUCCAUACAGCAGAAGUUGUUCCUGCUCAUGACCUCAUUGAGGAAAAUGAGAAUUGUGGUGCUGGUGACUUUCAUGUGUCUUGGGAGGUUCAGGUGUUCAACAUCGUUAAGGCACUCCCAAAACGCAAACCUCCUCUUUUAAAUGCCAAUUGUACAUCUACAUUAAUUCAUCUAUGCAAGCUUGUGUUUUCAUGGUUUGUUUUUUACACCAUAUUUCUCAUUGGGUUCUUUAAACAUCAAGUUUAAUAUUGAUAUUAUGAAUAAUUUUUAAACCAAAGUAUUCUCUAAGUCUUUGUGCUUUGUUUUCCUGGAUGGUUUGACCAAGGUAAAUAUCAAUCUUGUCCUUCUCUCUUAAUAAAGUCAUCCAUUUGUUAAGUCAGUGGUUUCUGUCUCAUGUUUUUGUUGUUUCUUUAGAACAUUCAGGGAAAGUUACGUAAAUAGCAAUCAUAAGUAUUAUUAUGAUUGUUAUUUUUUACAAAAUGACCCUAAUAGGUCUGUUUAAUAACAGUAAAAUUUUCUCUUACUCCAUUUCCAUACACUUUCUAUAAAUAUGUAUAACAUGAUGAUGAUGCCUGGUGUAUUGAAAUUCUCAAUAAAUACUGCCAAGUAUGGAUCAGUUGGAGAAGUAGCUUUGUUUUGUGUAUGGUGUUUGGUGGCUUGAUUGAUGUAUUUGGGAGAAAAAAACAGGUAAAUGGGUAUUCACACAAUAAUUCCAGUGAUUAAAGACCCCAUGCACAACUCUGCGCUAUACCUGACACCUUGUGGACACUUAAAUGUAUUUUGAGAAAAUGGAUAUUUUUAAUAACUGAUUUAUUCAAUAUUUUACCUUCAUAAGAAUUUUGUUAUCUUAUUUGGUUUGAUAGAACAGCCAUGAUGUGGGAAAUGAUUCUGCAGAAAUGUAUCAGUUUUUACUAAGGAAGAGGAUGGAGAAAAGGGACCGCCUCACCAGGAUUUUUUAGUAGAGACGGGAUUUCAGCAUGUUGGCCAGACGGGUCACAAACUCCUGACCUCAGAUAAUCCGCCCACCUUGACCUUCCAAAGUAAUGGCAUUUUAUAAACUUCCCAGUAAUUGCCUUCAACUUUAUGAAGAGAAGAGGUCAUUUUCUCUUGAAGAGUGUGAAUAAUGUAUACUCAAACUCUGAGAAACACAGAAUCCAGAAAUUUGUCGUCCCAGCCUUUUUUGGAGCAGGGAUAGAGGCAUGCGACCUGGAUAUUCCCAACCAGAAACAUCCUUAGAAAACUUUGAUUCACAAGAGAGAAUUUGAGGAAGUCAUCACCCUCAUGCACUAGAUCAGGAAAUGCUGGAGUCUUUCAUCAGAGUUGUAAAUGGCACUUGUGACAAAAAUCAAAGUAACUAAAAAAGAAUCUGGUUGGAACCUCAGUAACAACUGGCCUGUCUACUGCCUCACACUAACAAGGAGAAGCUAAUCAAACACAGGCCAGAGCACACUAUGUGGAAAUGAAAACCUUAUUCUUGUCAAUGGAUUGAGGGUGGGCAAUGUUAGAAGGCACCAGGAAGACAAAGUUCCUGCCAUCGACAUUUACAUACUAGAGAAGGAAACAGAAAAUAAACAGGUAAGGAAAUACAUGUGAAGUAUGAUAUUAGAAUGUGAUAGGCAUUGUACAGUGAGAAAAAUGGAGAAAAGGAAUAGAAAGUGAUGGGGUUGCAAUUUUGCAAUAGAUGAUUAGAAAAGUCCUCCCAGUGAAGUGAUAUUUGGUGAACACGAACAUAAAAGAGGUGAGGUAUUGAGCUAUGUACGUAUCUAAAAAAAAUAUGUUUCCAGGCAGAGGAAACAGCAAUGGAAAAGGUUUUAGAGAAAAAAAGUGUAACCCAGGUUAACCUCUCUUGCAGAACUAGUUUAGCCUGUCCCUUUUGCUGGUGAAAUCACUAUUAAUGUUUCUGUAGUAAAGAUCGUGUUUUAAAUGAUUUAUAUAAUACAAUAAAAUUUCUAAUCUCUUUCAAGCUUCCUUCUUCAUCUUUAAAAUGAAGUUAAACUCGGGAAAAAACGAUUGUUCUAGCUCUGAACUGCUGCCCUACUAUGACUUAAAGGCUUCUCUGCUCUCCUAGCAGCACUUCCUUUGCAUAAAAAAUAGAAUGUUUUGAUCUUAUGAAUUUAUAUUGAUAUAUUUGAUUAGAACAUUAUAAAGUAAAGAAAAUUAUUGUUGUUGUUAUUUGUAUUAGUAGUAGUAUUUUCUCUGUAUUUUUUGAUUUCUGAAGCUGUGACUACCUGGUUCUUUCUGUUUCAGUUAUGACUCUAAUUUUGAGGCAACACUGUAAAACUCUCAUAUACCAGUGGUCAGGAAUGUGCUGCAGCAGAUCCUCUCUCUCUUACUAAAUCCAGAACACCAAAUGUCUUAGUCCAUUUUGCCUUACCAUAAAGGAAUACCUAAGGCUGGUAAUUUAUAAAUAAAAGAGGUGUAUUUGGCUUACGCUUCCACAGCCUGUACAAGAAACAUGGUGCCAGCGUCUGCCUCUGCUGAGGACUGCAGGAAACUUCCAAUCAUGGCCCAAGAAAUGAGGAGCCUGAAUGUCACAUAUUGAGAGAUGGAGCAUAAGAAAGAGGCAGGAGGAGAAAGUUGCCAAACUGUUUUAACAAUCAGGUCUCGGGGGAACCCAAUAAAACAAGAACUCAUGAUCUGGGCACCAAGCCAUUCAUAAGGGAUGUGCCCCAUGGCUCAAACACCUGUCACUAGGCCCCACCUCUAAUACUGAGAUCAAAUUUCAACAUGAGAUUUUGACAGGACAAAUACCCAAACUAUAUCACCUCGAAAGAGAAUAUUUCUGGGAAUAUUAAGAAGGGUUCACAAAGCAGAUUCAGGCGUUGGGUUUUGUGUGUAACCAUGGUAUGGAAUUCACAGGCAGUCCAUGUUGCUAGCUCUGGUUUUGUAGGCUGAGAGGGGCCUAAGUCAGGUAUUCAACCUAAAGCAAUCAGCCUCCUUCACUUAAGCACUUGGCUGAAAGACUGACUUCAGAAGACAGUACUCUAGCUGGGAUGUUGCACAUGGAACAGAUUGAUCUUGAAAUCUGGUCCUGAAGUCAGUUUCACAGCAGGAAUUUCACACAUGCAAGCACAAAUGAGCACUUGUGCAAAUCUCCAUGAAAUAGCUGCGAAUAUUGUCUAAACUGGCUUUCAGCUGGGUAGCCAGUCUUCCAGAUAAAUGUCAAAUUAACUGGAUAAUUAUACCUCAAUAUGAACUCAAUGUCCAACAGUAGAUUUGGGGGAGAUUUAUUUUUCUUUAAACAGUGCUGACUUCGUAAUCUUAUAGAAACAUUGUUUAUCUCAGAUUCUGAGAAGUAUUCAAAUAAAUAAAAGAGUAAACCAAAUGGAUUAUCAUUUUCCUCUUUCCUCUUCCCUCCCUCCCUUCCUCCUUCUUCUUUCCCUGUACCUAGUGUGUGCAAAGAACUAUGCUAGGUGUUGUAGAAUAAAACAAGUUAACAUAUAACCUUUCAGUAGUCAAUGAGCAACCUCAUAGGGAAGACAGACAAAUGCUAAGUGUAAAAUACCAUACAUAUGCUCUAAUAGAAAUAUCAACUAUGUAUUUUGAAAACAUACAGAUUCUAAGUCCCAAAUCAGCCAGGACCUACUGUCUUGGCUACUGCUUUUAACUAUGUUGAUUAGCAAGAUGAUGACACGUAGUAGGUAUUUAAAAGAUAGAACAGGGAAUGCACUUUGUAAUUUUGUGGAAAAGAUGAGUGGCAAAGAAAUGAAAACAAAGAUUAUAUUUGAGCUGGGAUAUAAAGGAAUUUCUUUUUUCUUAACCUGUUUUAAUUUUGUUUUUGGUUUUGUUUUGUGAAAAAUAACCCUGGAUGCUUCCAACACUCUCUACAGUGACCCCACCUUUACAAUUGCCUGUAAUUCUCACUAGCAGUGUAUUAGAGGGCAAAAGAUUUGAACAGACACAUCAGACAAGAAGAUAUACAAAUGGCCACUAAGCACUUGAAAGGAUUCUGAACAUCAUUAGUCAUCAGUGAAAUGCAAAUUAAAGCCAUAAUGAAUGGCGCUACGCAUUUUCAGAAUGGCUAGGAUUAAAGACUGAAAAAAAUCAAGCGUUGGUGAAUAUGUAAACUUAUUGGGUUUAUGUUUUGCAUAUGCAAAGUUUUAUCUCCCUAAGGGAGAGUUUUACUUCCUAUUUCCUAACUUUGUAUGUUUUAUUGCUUUUACUUUCCAUAUUUCAAUUGACAGAACCUCUUAUACAGUGUUUCCAUUUUUCAUUUUUGAAUUUUAAGGGUCCUCUAGAUCAUCUGGUAUAUGUGUUGUGAAUAUUAUCUCCCAGUCUGUGGGUUGCCUUUUGAUUUUGUUACCUGUGCUUCCAAGGAGCAAAAAUUUGGAUUAAACAAUUGAUUAAUGUUUUUGUAAUGGUUAAUAAUAUUCGUGUUCUAAGAAAACGUUUCUUCACCUCUCUAGGAAUUUUAUAACUUUAGGAUUUACAUCUAAGUCUGUAAUCAAUUUCCAUUUUGUGGCAUGAGAUACGAAUCUCUUAUCUUACUUCCAUUUAGAAAUUUAAUUGUUCUAGUCAUAUUUAUUGAAAAGUAUUUUCUUUGAUUAUUGAAUUGUCUUAGCGCCUUUGUAAAAAAAUCAAUUAAAUAUGUGUGGGUCUAUUUCUGAACUUGUGACUUUGUCUCAUCCCUCUGUAUCUUUAAACUUUUGCCACUCCUAACGUGUCUUGAUUUCUGUAAGCUUUAUUUUGUGUUGAAAUCAAGUAUGGUAAUUAUUCUAAAUUUGUUCUUCUGUUAAAGAAAGUGCUUAGCAAGGUAAUGCUAAGUUCUUUGAACUUCCAUGUAAAUUGUAGAAUCAGCUUAUAGAGUUUGCCAAAAAAACCUGUGGGAUUUUGAUUGGAACUGCAUUGAAAGCAUAGACAAUUUUUGAGUAAUUGACAUUUAACAAUAUUGAGACUUUCAAUUCUUGAAUGUAAUUUAUCAUCCCAUUUAUUUAGACCUUCAAUUUCUCACAAGAAUAUUUAUAAUACUUAGUGUGAGAUCUUUAUUUUUUCUGUUGUAUUUGUCUAAGUAUUUUAUGAAUUUUAGUGCUAUUGUGAAUGGAUUUUGAACAAUUAUUAUUUUCUAGUUAUUUACUGCCAACAUAUACAAGUACAAAGCAUUUUUAAUAUUCACCCUUUAUCCUGUAACCUUGUUAGACUCACUCAUUAGUUCUAGCAGUUGUUUUGUAGACCUAUUGAGGUUUUUUUGUACAUACAUAUUAUUAUGUAUCUAUAUGUCUCAAUAAAUGCAAAACAGAAAUCCCUGAUUCUCUUUUCUACCAGGUUGUUUUAUCUUUAUAUAUGGAACUACCAUCACUAUCACAUAUUUGCUACAGACUAAAAACUAGACAUUAUCUUGAUCACUCCUUUGUCUCACCUUCCAAAUAAAUCCAGAAAAUCACCUGGUUAUCUGCCAUUCUAAAUCUUUCCAGUUCUAUUUAUAGUUAUAUUCAUUUUUGCAGCCACCACCUUACCCCCCAGCUACAAUCCUCCCGUGUCUGAUGGGUUAAAAUCAUUUGCUUCAUGAUCUUCUUGCUGCUUCUAUUGACCCUCAACACAACAAAGAGAGCUAUCUUUUUGAAAUGUUAAUAGGAUUAUGCCUAUACACUGUCAGAAGCACCUCAUUAAGCUUUAGUUAAAACCCAGGUUACUUACUGCUGUCUUCAAGACUUGAAACACUGUGGUCCCUACUUAAGCUCCAUACUUGUACUUUUUCUUCUACCCGUUGUGGUAUGACUGCAGCCGUCUUUUCUGUUUCUUGAAUAUAUUCAGUCCUUCUCCCCCUGGGUGCUUGAAGUUGUUCUUCCCUCUGCCUGGAGUUCUCCUCACCUUUCAGGUUUCAGCUCAAAGAUAAAAUUCUCAGAGAUGCACUAGCUUCCUUGAAGAACUAGCUACAACAGUUAUCCUACAGUUAGUCUCAUCUCUGAUUAAUCUGCUUAUUUCUUUCAUUACAUUAUUACAAUCUGCAAUAAUCUUUUUAUUUUGUUUUUGACUGGCCUUGUUCCUAUUACUAUAAUAUAAGAUAUCUUAUCUUUCAAUUCAUUGCUGUAUUCAUAAUACUUCAAAUAAUACCUAACACAUAAUAGCAAUUCAACAUGUGUAUUGAAGGAAUAAGUCAAUGAAUAAAUAUUUCUAAAAGUCUAAGCUUUUGUUAAAUUCCUAAAGGGGACUUUUACUCAAUUUAAGAACCACUGCUUUUAAAGUACAAAAAAACACAUAGAUUUCUUCUGUUUUGUUCUAAAGCAUAAGAAUCACAAUAGCAUUAAUCAAAGGAGGACAUAAAGUAGGAAAGCAGGCAUAUAGGUAUUAUAAUAAAAUAGACCUCUCUGUAUCAGUUGAUUUCUGUCACCCGACUAAAUCUCAAAUAGAUUAUGCAUAUUAUGAGAGUUCCACUGGCAGCUUCUCAGAAAUUUCCCUGAGAUUUCGAAUUUAUUGGCAUCUUCGAUUGCUUUAGCAUUGAUACUUAUGCGAUUAAGACAUUGUCAAGCACACCAUUUGAGACAAAUUUUGAGAGACAAUGUUACCCUUGUUUAAAAUACUAAUUUGUAAUCCUUCCCUUCUAUUUUUAUAUCGUGUCUUGCACUUACUUUAGUUAUCUAGCUUUUGUUGCUUUUUUGUAUCUCUAAAAACCAUAACAUCUUACCCUUGAAUUUUUUGCAUUGAUAUAUUAGUUAUGUGACUGAAAUCAUUUUUCUUCUUAUUUAUUUUUUUCAAGAGAUACUAAAAGAAAUCUUACUUUAUUCUAUAAGAUUAAUUUAUAAAGCAGCUCCUUCUUUGUCACAUGAUCAGAUACCACAAAAACAUUAAAUGUUUUCAAAUAGAUUUUAACAAUGUCUGAACAAAACCAUGAUCUUCCCAAAAGCUAUGUUGAUGUUUACCUCAUAUGCUUAAAGAGGAAAAGGGUCCACACAAACCACCACACAAUUAAAAUAAUAAGCACACUGAUAUUAUAUUGCCCCUAAAAUGAAAUCUAUUCUUUUAAAAUCCAACGUACUGUGUAUCUCACCUAUAUAAUUUACUUGACAGCUGUCAUUUAUUGAGUGCUUUCUCUGCUAUUACAAUAGUUAAUAUACAUCUUUUUUGGUUCCUCUUCCCACACUAGUAAUAUCGUAAGCCUCUUUGGUGUUGCAUCAAGGAUUCUUACUAGAAAUGUCCCAUGGUACUUGGAACACAAUAGCUCCUUGUUGAAUUUAACUACUAAAUUAUAACAAAUGUUCAUGACAACAAAUUUUAACCAUAUAUUGGGAAAAUGCCAACAUAAUCAAGCCAGAAAUAUCCGCAUGUAUUAAUCAGAGACUGUAUUCUGCAGAGUUGCAAGGAUUUUGUCUUUUUUAGCUUCAAGUUAUUAUAGAGCACUAUUAUUAAUGUAGAACUGCAUUUUUGCCCACUUUCAGUAUGGCUGUGUUGUAGGCUGAAUUAUCUUACUCUAAAUAUUUAUAUGUUGAAGUCUUAGCCCCCAGUAUCUCAAAAUAUGACUAUAUUUGGAGACACGAGCUUUACACAUGUAACUAAGUUAAAAUGAGGUGAUUCUGGUAGGUCCUAAUUCACUAUGACUGAUGUCCUUAUUGGAGGAGAGUGACAAACGGGGAGACAGCCGUGGUGCAUGAUGAUCGCAAAAGAAAUACCAUGUGAGGAUACAGCAAGAAGGUGGCCAUCUACAAGCCAAGGAGACAGGCCUCAGAAGAAACCAACCCUGCUUACACCUUGGGCUCAGACUUCUAAUCUCCAGAACUACACAGGGUCUCGCUAUAUUUCUCAGGCUGGUUCCACACUCCUGGCCUCAAGGGAUUCUCCCUCCUAAGCCUCCUAAAGCAUAAGUUCUCAUAGAUAGCAAAAUUCAUUUGGAAGAAGGAGAAGGAGCAUGGAGAAUUGCAGAUGGAGAUUUUUAUGCGAAGGCUUGGAGGUUGCACAUUACUACUUUUCCUUGUUGGCUAGGAAUCUAUCACGUGGUGACACCUAAGUGCCAGUGAGUCUGACAAUGCGGCAAUUUGGUUGCGUGCCAUGGUUUAAUUGCAUGGAGAGAGGGAGCAUAGAACAGGAGAAAUAUACCACAGCAACAGAGAGAUAGACUCUUGCUCUGUCACCCAAGUUGGAAUGCAGUGGUGCGAUCAUAACUCCACAACCUCAAAUUACUCAGCUCAGAAGAUCCUUCUGCCUCAGCCUCCUGAAUACCUAGUACUCCAGCAUUUUAAAUCUGUUGCUCCACUGUCAUCUGGCCUUAAUGGUUUCUGAUGUCACAUCCACCAUCAUUUGAUCAUUGUUCCACCAUAUGUAAAGUAUUAAUUUCUGGGUGUUUUUAAGAUUUUCUUGUUCCUUUUGUCUUUCAGCAGUUUUGCUGUGAGGUACCUAUACCUGUGUAGACACUUCUUUCAAAUGUGUCCUAUUUGGAGUUUGCUGCCCUUUAGUAAUCUAUAAAUGUAGGCCUUUUACCAGA